rnacentral:lncRNA from 1 species
GAUGCUGGUGAAAAAGAUAUUUGGAAACAAGAAUUCUAGAAAUAAAAAGAGGAAAUGGAAACUAAAGCAUCUCCAUGACGAUCUUCAUGCAGAUACAUCUAGCAAUGAAAGGUACAUUAUUUAUCUUUCCACUCAUAAUGGCAGCUAUAAUCAGUGUCAAACCCCAGCAAACAAAGCUUGGAGGCAUGCAGGAUUCACCAGGUCUCUUUGAAAUCUAUGCAGAAAGUCAAAAAUAUCAAAAUGUCAUUGUCUCAAUACAUAUUUUCACAGGAGCAACUAUAACACAUAUACAAGGGGUAUUAGCUGCAGAGUGCUGACAUCACUAGUUUCAGACAAAUUCUUGAUACUGAAACAUUUUUAUACGACCGCAAAUUUUGAAAAAUUUUUCGUCAUAUAUUGCUAUCACGUCGUCGUCGUUGUCGUCGUCGUCGUCCGAAUACUUUUAGUUUCGCACUCUAACUUUAGUAAAAGUGAUAGAAAUCUAUGAAAUUUUAACACAAGUUUAUGACAUAAAAGGAAGGUUGGUAUUGAUUUUGGGAGUUUGGUCCCAACAUUUUAGGAAUUAGGGCCAAAGGGCCCAAAUAAGCAUUUUCUUUGUUUUUCGCACUAUAACUUUAGUUUAAGUUAUAGAAUCUAUGAAAUUUUGACACAAGGUUGAUACCACAAAAGAAAGGUUGGGAUUGAUUUUGGAGUUUUUGGUUUCAACAGUUUUAGGAAUUAGGGGCCAAAAGGGCCCAAAUAAGCAUAUAUCUGGUUUUCGCACAAUAACUUUAGUUUAAGUAAAUAGAAAUCAAUGAAAUUUAACAUAAUGUUUAUGAGACAAAAGAAGAUUGGUAUUGAUUUUGGAAGUUUAGGUCCCAAACAGUUUAGGAAUUAGGGGCCAAAAAGGGACGCCAAAUAAGCAUUUUUCUUGGUUUUCGCACCAUAACGUUAGUAUAAGUAAAUAGAAAUCUAUGAAAUUUAAACACAAGGUUAAUGACCAUAAAAGGAAAGUUGGUAUUGAUUUUGGGAGUUUUGGUCCCAACAGUUUAGGAAAAAGGGGCCAAAGGGUUCAAAAUUAAACUUUGUUUGAUUUCAUCAAAAUUGAAUAAUUGGGGUUCUUUGAUAUGCGAAUCUAACUGUGUUGUAGAUUCUUACUUUUGUCCGUUUUCAAAUUGGUACAUUAAGGUCCAAAGGGUCCAAAAUUAAACUUAGUUUGAUUUUAACAAAAUUGAAUCCUUGGGUUCUUUGAUAUGCUGAAUCUAAAAAUGAACUUAGAUUUUUUAUUAUUGGCCCAGUUUUCAAGUUGGCCCAUAUCGGGGUCCAAAAUUAAACUUUUUUGAUUUCAUCAAAAAAUUGAAUAAAUGGGGUUCUUUGAUAUGCCAAAUCUAACUGUGUAUGUAGAUUCUUCAUUUUUGUCCGUUUUUUCAAAUUGCCUACAUUAAGGUCCAAAGAGUCCAAAUUAAACUAAGUUAUUUUAACAAAAAUUAAAUUCUUGGACUCUUUGAUAUGCUGAAUCUAAACAUGUACUUAGAUUUUUGAUUAUGGCCCAGUUUUCAAGUUGGUCCAAAUCAGGAUCUAAAAUUAUUUAUUAAGUAUUGUGGAAUAGCAAGUCUUUUCAAUUGCACAGUAUUGUGCAAUGGCAAGAAAUAUCUAAUUGCACAAUAUUGUGAAAUAGCAAAUUUUUUUUUAAUUAGAGUUAUCUUUCUUUGUCCAGAAUAGUAAGCAAGAAAUAUCUAAUUGCAAAAUAUUGUGCAAUAGCAAGAUUUUUUUUUAAUUGGAGUUAUCUUUCUUUGUCCAGAAUCAACUUAAAUCUUUGUUAUAUACAAUAUACAAUGUAUAUUCACUUUUUACUACCAACUGAUAAAUUAAAAUAAUCUUUACCAUUCAGUGAUAACAAGCAGUUUUUUUUGGAAAAUGACGCAGUAAUUGUUCCAUAACUGCCGACCUGAACUUCAUUACAUUUCUCUGCCUACCGCGCUUGGUUUCGUAUUUCCUAUUUUCCAUACAAACUGGAAUCUGCUUGUGUUAUCAUUAUGCAUCAUUGUGUAGUAUUAAAUCAGCCAGGACCCAGUGUACACUGGUUUUUGCUUGUAUUCCACUACACUCGAACAAAGUGUUGUAGUUUGACGGAGAACCAGUUUUAGAAUUUGUAAACUACAAAACGUAAUCGGUUAUUGUUCAUUCCGUUUUGGUGUUUCAUACCGACUUAUAUGGUUUGAAUAAGCUUGAGACCCUUCAAACAUUAAUGUGAUAGGUAUAUUAAAGAUUGUUUUACAAAAGGAUUGAACUGUUUUACUUUCAAAGUCGUACUAUAGGGAUAUCUGUCAUAUACGGAUUUCCACUCUCACCGGUUAAUUUCUUCUUUUACACGUGCUUUGGAAACUUCCUGUUUAAUCGCAAGUUUUAAAAUUGUUUUUGAGUGAAUUAAACUUAUUUUAACAAUCAUGAAGCGUUCCAGAAUCAUUUUAAAGCAGUUUCUUCUUCUCUUUGAUGAUGGAAAAUAGGUUUUCUCAAGAAAAUACCGCAAACGAUCGCAGAAGGAAUUGAAACGUACAAGUCAAGUCGGCACCUGGUUAAAUUGGCAUCUAGUCAAAUCGGCACCUAUUCGACGUCAAUUCGGCAUCCAAUAAUAUUUGUUAUAAUAUUUUCUAUUCAAUUAAUUAAUUACUGUUACCAAGUACAUAGUGAAUAUGUUUGUGUAUUUUGGUAAACACGAAACGAAAGUGAAUAUGUAGUGUAUAAAGGUAAACAACGAAGCCCUUACCAAAGCUGUUGUUUUAACAAUUAGACAAUUUGUGUAAUUGUAAAAACAAGUCAAUUAUUAAAAUAAAAUGGAAAACUAUGAGUCCCUUUCAAUAAAUCAAACUUUCAUGCCAAAUAAUUAGCAAAUUUAAGGUGUUUGUUUUUCAGUAAAGUUUAAACAGCAUUAAACCAACAAUCCUGUAAAAUGCUCAACUGGUUAAAAUAAUGCAGAAAAAUACACAAUAUCUCAUGUAUUAGUCCAAAUAAUUAUGACGUCUGGCAAGGCUAUUUAUUAUUUUUCUGGGACGCCUUCCUACGACGUUCGUAGGAAGGCGUCCCAGAAAAAAAUUAACAUAGCCUUGCGGUCAUAGGAAGGUGUUCCAGAAUAAAAUUAAAAAAGCCUUGCCAGACGUAAUAAUUAUUUGGACUACUCAUAUAUAUAUAUAUAUAUCAUUAAAAAUACACCAAAAAAGUCAUUAGUUGAGAAAAAUAAAUAUAUACAAAAUGUACAUGAACACCCAAAAAUGUGAAAGUUAGUAUUUAACUCUUUUUGCUUAAAUACUGAAAAAAAUUCUGGCAACCCCUUUCUUAUUUUUACCCUAUUGCUUAAAAUACUGUUAAAAAUAUAUAUUUAACAUGGGUGACGAAUUGACUAUAUCAGGUGUCGAUUUUAACCAGGUGCUGAUUUGUCCAGGUGCCAAUUUAACUAGGUGCCAGUUUGACUAGAAUUCUUUGACAAAUGUUUGAAACUAUCUGAGUUUCAUUAGACCUUUGAUAGCAGUAACAAAAAGAUUAUUUACUUAAUAUUUUGUGGGAGAAGGGGGUUCAGACUGUGUGGUAUCAGGUCUGUUUGUGCCCAAUACAUUUUCGCACCCUACACGUUCGCACAUUCACACUCUACUCAUUCGCGCCCAAUUUUAAUUCAAAUUCAAGUUGAAUAAUUGGAAAAUCAUGGUUGUUGUUUUAAAUUGCUUUGGUGUAAAUACUGAAUGUAUUUAUAGCUUGGUAUGAGUAAAACAUUGAAGAUUUUAAAGGAAAAAACACAAAAGAUAAUUGUUUUUAACAGCUUGGUCCCAUUGAUCUGAAACAACGAAACAAUAAAACAUAGAAACCAAAAUAUAGCAAUCCACUAAUAUAACCAAAACAUGAUAAAAUUUAUUCAACACGCAGAAACAAACAUAGUCAGAAUCUCACUUCAUUUUGAAACAAGUCAAUGAAACAAGUUAUAGCAAUACACUAACCAAAACAUGAUUAAGAGUUAUUCAACACAAAAUAAAACGUUGACAAAAUACCACUUUAUUUAGAAAGGAUUAUUAUUAUUUUUAGCAAUACCUUAUCCAAAACAUGAUUAAGAUUUAUUCAACACAAAAAAAAAAUUGCUGUCUCACUUUAUUUUGAGACAAUGACAACAAUUAUACUUAUAAGAAAACACUUGCUUACAGAGUUAUUAAACACAAAACCAAUUAAGAUUGGGUGCGAACAUGUAGGGUGUGAAAGUGAAAGGGGUGAAAAUGAGUGGGCGCAAACGUGAAUGGAAGCGAACGGACCCAGAUUCAGACUAUGUACCAGUGAGAAAUAUACAAGCCUUUCUACGGUAUUUAUUUGUACAAUUCAGCUAGUCUUGACCUAUUCAUUUGUCUUAAAAAAACCAGCCAGUUGUCACCUUCACUUCACACACACACACAUAUACGAAUAUCAAUUAUAUGCUCACGAUACAUGUUGCAUUGUUAAACUAAUUACGGUAUGUGAAAAUCAAGACUUGCAUAAAAACUAUCCCAAUAUUAGAGACAGUGGCGUCAUUUUUCUUCAGAGCUUUCAGCUCUUUGAUUACAUCUUAAUAUUUUAUGAUGUAUUAAUGAGUAUUGUUGCAACUCCAUUAAAUAUUUAAUUGAGAUAUUUGGAUAAGGGAAGGGGGAUUAUAAAAAUUGUUCAAUUUUCUCAUUGAAUUUCAUAAAUAAAAAGAAAUUUUUAAAUUUUUUUGAGAGAUAAUAUUGAAAGCAUAGUGAAUUGCUCUAAAGAAAAAAAUUUAAGUUCAUUAGACACAUUCAUUUGUUUCGAAACUUGCUGUGUCAACUAUUUAAUACACCAAAUUAGAGCUGAAUCACUUGAAUGUGUCCAUACUUGCCCAACUGUCAGGUAAACUCUGCGUCUAUAAAGUACGCCUGCGAAGCAUCUGGUUAUGUUUUCAACUAGUGCAUGGUUUACCUGAAUUUACCUAUUUUCUGAAUAACUGAUGUACCUAUUUGACCCAUUGUAAUUUUUUUUGAGUGACAGAGGGCUGAAACUAAAAGAAUCUUUUUAUUAGGAGUUGGACCUUAUUUACUCAAAUAAAACUUCAUACAACUCAAACAGACCAAUCUGGAGUUGAGUGUUACGAAUGCAUAACACCGGUUCACAAGAGGUCUAUCAGCUUAAAUGACAUCAUAGAACAAUUAUUUCUUACUGUGACGUAAUAGCAUGAGCAUUGUGUCUAAAAAAAUAUACAGGAAAGUGCAGAAAUUUUAAAAGUCCUCUAUACAAAAGUCAUUUCAAUUUCUGAAUAUUCUUUUAUAAGUGCCUUUAGCAGUACUGUUUGCUCUAUCUAGAUUAAACAGCUGACAUUGUGUUGCCUUCAUAAUUUUGAAGUGAAUCAUAGUAAUCCCACUUUAUGUCAUCAACUUUGUUAACUUUAGGGACGAAAUCAAAAGAUCGCUGUAGGAUAAUAAACUUAAAUCGAAUAGUUUGAGGGUGGGGGUCAACAUUGCUGCAAGUUUUGUUUAUCUAAAAUCGAUUUUACAUAUAUCCAUAUAGGUAAAUAAUUUUUUCCCAACUCAAGUUAAGAAGGGGGGUAGGGGGGUCAGCGAAAAAAAUAUGUGAAUUAAGUUUUUUAUCCUAAAUUUGAACUUUUGAUGUCGUCCCUUAAAGUUCAGGUGUUAGUUAUUUUAUUUUGGCUGCAAUAGCUUUUGUGAUUUUACUUUUUGAUUACCAUGAAAUUCCCCUAAAUUUGGAAUAGAUCAUGAACCUUUUGGCUUUAAUCACUGACUUCCUGUUUUGAAUAUUUUAGAGAUUAUACUGACUUCCUUGAGGAUCUAGAAGAAGAUGAGGCUUUCAGAAAGAAUGUGGAUAUAUAUAAAGGUAAAAUAUUUUAUGUUUAGAUGGUGGUAUGG